rnacentral:lncRNA from 1 species
UGUAAUGGUUUACCAGAUGGUUUGUUAUAUGUCAUGAGACCGAGUUCUUUCGACAGAUAGAGCUCACUGUGUGUAUCGACACACUUUGUGAAUUUUCUUUGAAAAUUUUUCUUAGGGUGUGAGUUCUCUUGAAUGUCUUUGGAGUAUACUUGGAGUGGAUUUGAAGUAGUUUUUGGUUGUUUCUACACUAUUUGUUAUUCUUGAUCUCUCGUCAUCAAUAAUUUUUGUAGAUAGUUGCUUUGAUUUAGAUUUCUUCUUCGCGGACAUAAGUAUUGUCACCGUCGCCAGUUUAUGAUUGCAAAUUGAUACUUUUACUAGCAUCAAUUUGAGGGGAUGUUAAUAAG